rnacentral:rRNA from 1 species
GUGUCAGCCGCCGCGGUAAUACGGAGGGUGCAAGCGUUAUCCGGAUUCACUGGGUUUAAAGGGUGCGUAGGUGGGUUGGUAAGUCAGUGGUGAAAUCUCCGAGCUUAACUUGGAAACUGCCAUUGAUACUAUCAGUCUUGAAUAUUGUGGAGGUCAGCGGAAUAUGUCAUGUAGCGGUGAAAUGCUUAGAUAUGACAUAGAACACCAAUUGCGAAGGCAGCUGGCUACACAUAUAUUGACACUGAGGCACGAAAGCGUGGGGAUCAAACAGGAUUAGAUACCCCUGUAGUCC